CCGUUCUCAGUUCGGAUCGGAGUCUGCAACCCGACUCCGUGAAGCUGGAUUCGCUAGUAAUCGCGCAUCAGCCAUGGCGCGGUGAAUACGUUCCCGGGCCUUGUACACACCGCCCGUCAAGCCAUGGGAGCCGGGGGUGCUUGAAGUGCGUCGCCGCAAGGCGCGCCCUAGAGCAAAACCGGUGACUGGGGCUAAGUCGUAACAAGGUAUC
rnacentral:rRNA from 1 species